AGAAUUUGCACAAUGGAAAACCACCUUGACCAUCUCAUGACUUUAUACAGGAAUCGGAGGAAAAAGAGUCAUUUUGUACUCUCUUAUCUAUAACCAUGUCUCACUUCAAGUCAAUGCUACAAUUGUCACUUUUAUUUUGAAAAGGAAGCUCAGAAGGAAAAAAACUCUUAGAGAGAUCUUCUAACAGAACAUUUUUCUUCACUGAUAGACAUCCAAGGCCAUUCCAUUUCUAAAUCACACUUAUCCCUCAAUCAAGUCAGUGACUGGAUCAUCUCCUAAGGUUUCACCUGCUUUGCAUCAGGUAGGUGAGAUGAAAGUGAUUUUAUGGGUAGCUUUCAGAAAAAUGUACUGCACUGAAGUGACAAAGUUCUGUCUUGCCUGUUCUCUCACAAAACAGCAUAUCAAUUAAAUAAUGUUUUCUUUAC
rnacentral:lncRNA from 1 species